GUGGGGAAUUUUGGACAAUGGGCGAAAGCCUGAUCCAGCCAUGCCGCGUGAGUGAUGAAGGCCUUAGGGUUGUAAAGCUCUUUCGCCGAGGACGAUAAUGACGGUACUCGGAUAAGAAGCCCCGGCUAACUUCGUGCCAGCAGCCGCGGUAAUACGAAGGGGGCUAGCGUUGUUCGGAAUUACUGGGCGUAAAGCGUAUGUAGGCGGGUCGUUAAGUUAGGGGUGAAAUCCCAAGGCUCAACCUUGGAACUGCCCUUGAUACUGGCGAUCUUGAGUCCGGGAGAGGUGAGUGGAACUGCGAGUGUAGAGGUGAAAUUCGUAGAUAUUCGCAAGAACACCAGUGGCGAAGGCGGCUCACUGGCCCGGUACUGACGCUGAGAUACGAAAGCGUGGGGAGCAAACAGGAUUAGAAACCCUGGUAGUCC
rnacentral:rRNA from 1 species